CAUAAAUAUACUGAAUUACCAAACCUUAUAAUUUACACCGAGAAAAUGACAAACCAAAAUAUAAAAACUUUCCAGAGUAUAGGGAGGGAAACAGGGAGGGAAAAUACUCGCCUCCUGUCAUUAUUAAAAUUAAGAUUAUAGGUACACUACGUUAGCAUAAUCUACAAUUUUAUCACAUGACAGGAGGCUUCAUAUUUUGCAUUUUUAAAGCUGUGGUAUGAGCGUGAAGGAUGCGUGUGUGGUUGACGAAAAUAAAUAUACGGAAGUAGUCUAUCCGUGUCCAAUUCGUUGCUGAAAAUAUAGAGGCCCCCUCGUGAAGGCCUGAGAAGCAGCUGCACCUCUUACCGAAUGAGUACCCAAACACGUCUCCACCCUCGCUAGCGAUAACAACCAAUGAACCCAUCUAGACAGAGUGUUCAUGGUAGCUGGCUUGUACGGUUGGUAUAAGACCAGCAGAUGUCCUGAAUGUGACAUUCUAAGUGUUGUUGUGAUCUCCAUGUAACAAAGUACCCCUUUAACUGCACAAAGGCUGGGAAACAGUCGGUAACAGGGAACGAUACGGACACGGAUAAGAUAUAGUUCUACAAGACACUGUAGAAAUUAUUCUUUCUGGUGAUACCGAAAAGACCG